UACGUAGGGUGCGAGCGUUAAUCGGAAUUACUGGGCGUAAAGCGUGCGCAGGCGGCUUUGCAAGACAGAUGUGAAAUCCCCGGGCUCAACCUGGGAACUGCAUUUGUGACUGCAAGGCUAGAGUACGGCAGAGGGGGAUGGAAUUCCGCGUGUAGCAGUGAAAUGCGUAGAUAUGCGGAGGAACACCAAUGGCGAAGGCAAUCCCCUGGGCCUGUACUGACGCUCAUGCACGAAAGCGUGGGGAGCAAACAUG
rnacentral:rRNA from 1 species